GUCCAAAUGGCGCAGUGGGAUUUUCGCCGACUGGCAAUCACAAGGCCGGGGUUCGACCCCCGCUUUGGUCG